CAGAACAUAGCUAAAAUAUAGCAUUUCCUUUACUCUGAAAAGUUAUCUGGUCAUUCAGAUUGUUCUGA
rnacentral:tRNA from 1 species